rnacentral:rRNA from 1 species
AUUGAACGCUGGCGGCAUGCUUUACACAUGCAAGUCGAACGGCAGCGCGGGCUUCGGCCUGGCGGCGAGUGGCGAACGGGUGAGUAAUACAUCGGAACGUGCCCAGUAGUGGGGGAUAGCUUGGCGACAGCCGGAUUAAUACCGCAUACGACCUGAGGGUGAAAGCGGGGGUUCUUCGGACCCCGCCCUAUUGGAGCGGCCGAUGGCAGAUUAGCUAGUUGGUGGGGUAAAGGCCUACCAAGGCGACGUUCUGUAGCUGGUCUGAGAGGGCGACCAGCCACACGGGGACUGAGACACGGCCCAGACUCCUACGGGAGGCAGCAGUGGGGAAUUUUGGACAAUGGGCGAAAGCCUGAUCCAGCAAUGCCGCGUGUGUGAUGAAGGCCUUCGGGUUGUAAAGCACUUUUAGCGGGAACGAAAAGGACUGUGCCAAUACCACGGUUCGAUGACGGUACCCGCAGAAUAAGCACCGGCUAACUACGUG